rnacentral:rRNA from 1 species
GAUGAACGCUAGCGGCAGGCCUAACACAUGCAAGUCGAGGGAGAGGUUACCUUCGGGUAACCAAAACCGGCGCACGGGUGCGUAACGCGUAUACAAUCUGCCUUUCACAUAGGGAUAGCCCGCAGAAAUUUGGAUUAAUACCUAAUGGUAUAUAAGAGCGGCAUCGUUUUUAUAUUAAAGCUACGGUGGUGAAAGAUGAGUAUGCGUUCUAUUAGCUAGUUGGAAAGGUAACGGCUCCCCAAGGCGACGAUAGAUAGGGGUUCUGAGAGGGAUGUCCCCCACACUGGUACUGAGAUACGGACCAGACUCCUACGGGAGGCAGCAGUGAGGAAUAUUGGACAAUGGUCGGAAGACUGAUCCAGCCAUGCCGCGUGCAGGAUGAAGGUCCUAUGGAUUGUAAACUGCUUUUGUAAGGGAAGAAUAAGGAGUACGUGUACUUUGAUGACGGUACCUUACGAAUAAGCAUCGGCUAACUCCGUG